rnacentral:rRNA from 1 species
AGAGUUUGAUCCUGGCUCAGGAUGAACGCUGGCGGCGUGCUUAACACAUGCAAGUCGAACGAACCUUCGGGUUAGUGGCGGACGGGUGAGUAACGCGUGGGAAUCUACCCUCAGGAAGGGGAUAACGGCUGGAAACGGCCGCUAAUACCCCAUAUGCCGAGAGGUGAAAUGAAUUUCGCCUGAGGAUGAGCCCGCGUCUGAUUAGCUUGUUGGUGAGGUAAUGGCUCACCAAGGCUUCGAUCAGUAGCUGGUCUGAGAGGAUGAUCAGCCACACUGGGACUGAGACACGGCCCAGACUCCUACGGGAGGCAGCAGUGGGGAAUUUUCCGCAAUGGGCGAAAGCCUGACGGAGCAACGCCGCGUGAGGGAUGAAGGCCUCUGGGCUGUAAACCUCUUUUCUCAAGGAAGAAGAUCUGACGGUACUUGAGGAAUAAGCCACGGCUAAUUCCGUGCCAGCAGCCGCGGUAAUACGGGAGUGGCAAGCGUUAUCCGGAAUUAUUGGGCGUAAAGCGUCCGCAGGCGGCCUUUCAAGUCUGCUGUUAAAACGUGGAGCUUAACUCCAUCAGGGCAGUGGAAACUGUUGGGCUUGAGUGUGGUAGGGGCAGAGGGAAUUCCCGGUGUAGCGGUGAAAUGCGUAGAUAUCGGGAAGAACACCAGUGGCGAAAGCGCUCUGCUGGGCCAUAACUGACGCUCAUGGACGAAAGCCAGGGGAGCGAAAGGGAUUAGAUACCCCUGUAGUCCUGGCCGUAAACGAUGAACACUAGGUGUCGGGGGAAUCGACCCCCUCGGUGUCGUAGCCAACGCGUUAAGUGUUCCGCCUGGGGAGUACGCACGCAAGUGUGAAACUCAAAGGAAUUGACGGGGGCCCGCACAAGCGUGAGUAUGUGGUUUAAUCGAUGCACGCGAAGAACCUUACCAGGGUUUGACAUCUGGACCUCUUAGAAUUUGAGGGUGCAUCGCACGCAUGACAGUGGUGCAUGCCUGUCGUCAGCUCAGUCUGAAUGUAGUAAGUCCGCACGAUCCAACCAAGUUUAGUGCCAGCAUCAUGGUACUAGAGAACGCCGGUUAACGGAACGUGUAAGCCAGCUCCAUGCCCUUGUAUC